GAUGAAGAACGUAGCGAAAUGCGAUAAGUAAUGUGAAUUGCAGAAUUCAGAGAAUCAUCGAAUCUUUGAACGCACAUUGCGCCCCCCAGUAUUCUGGCGGGCAUGCCUGUUCGAGCGUCAUUUCAACCAUCAAGCCCUGCUUGUGUUGGGGUCCUGCGGCUGCCCGCAGGCCCUGAAAACCAGUGGCGGGCUCGCUAGUCACACCGAGCGCAGUAGCACAUCUCGCUCAGGGCGUGCGGCGGGCUCCAGCCGUUAAAGCACCCACCUUUCGCAAGGUUGACCUCGGAUCAGGUAGGAAUACCCGCUGAACUUAAGCAUAUCAAUAAGCGGAGGA
rnacentral:misc_RNA from 1 species